GGGUCCGGACACACUGAGGAUUGACAGGCAAUAUUAAUACGUGUUUCGGCGCGUAUUAUGUUAAAUAUGCUAGUCCUUUCAUGAUUAUGUGAUAGGUGGUGCAUGGCCGUUCUUAGUUCGUGGAGUGAUCUGUCUGCUUAAUUGCGUUUCACUAAGAAUCUAUCAAUACGUGCGUUGCGGCACUUUGACCCCUCUCUGAGCGCGCGUCUUAGUUGCUUAGCUCGCACAAUUAGGUUCUGAAAGCAACGAACGUGACCGCAACCUCUUGUUGCCUUUAUACCAAACAUUUUUGCUGUUCUCAGCAUUAAUGCAAAAAGGCUUUUUAAACUAGAGGGACCGCUGUUACUUUCUUAAACCAGAGGAAGGUUGCGGCAAUAACAGGUCUGUGAUGCCCUUAGAUGUUCCGGGCUGCACACGUGCUACAAUGAUUGUUGCAGUGAGCAUCUCAUUUUUACACACCACAUGCGCGAGUCCGUUUAUUCACUUCGGUGUUUUAAACGUGUAUUUCUGCGCGCGGUAAAGCCUGCUUCGAGAGUAAGUGGGU
rnacentral:rRNA from 1 species